rnacentral:rRNA from 1 species
CCUACGGGUGGCAGCAGUGGGGAAUAUUGCGCAAUGGGCGAAAGCCUGACGCGGCGACGCCGCGUGAGGGAUGAAGGUCUUCGGAUCGUAAACCUCUGUCAGCAGGGAAGAACGGUCACUGUGCUAAUCAGCAGUGAAUUGACGGUACCUGCAAAGGAAGCACCGGCUACCUCCGUGCCAGGAGCCGCGGUCAUACGGAGGGUGCGAGCGUUAGUCGGAAUUACUGGGCGUAAAGCGCUCGUAGGCGGUAUGGUAAGUCAAGGGGGAAAUCCCCGCGCUCAACGUGGGAACUGCCUUUGAAACUGGCAAACUGGAGUGUGUGAGAGGAUAGUGGAAUUCCAGGUGGAGGAGUGAAAUCCGUAGAUAUCUGGAGGAACAUCAGUGGUGAAGGCGACUAUCUGGCACAUAACUGACGCUGAGGAGCGAAAGCGUGGGUAGCAAACAGGAUUAGAUACCCCAGUAGUC